rnacentral:rRNA from 1 species
GACGAACGCUGGCGGCGUGCUUAACACAUGCAAGUCGAACGGAAAGGCCCUGCUUUUGUGGGGUGCUCGAGUGGCGAACGGGUGAGUAACACGUGAGUAACCUGCCCUUGACUUUGGGAUAACUUCAGGAAACUGGGGCUAAUACCGGAUAGGAGCUCCUGCUGCAUGGUGGGGGUUGGAAAGUUUCGGCGGUUGGGGAUGGACUCGCGGCUUAUCAGCUUGUUGGUGGGGUAGUGGCUUACCAAGGCUUUGACGGGUAGCCGGCCUGAGAGGGUGACCGGCCAAAUGGGGAUGGGGAAACGGCCCAGACCCCGCGGGGGGGGAGGAGGGGGGAAUUUUGCAAAAGGGGCGGAAGCCGGAUGCAGCAACGCCGGGGGGGGGAUGGGGGCCUUCGGGUGGGAACCCGUUUUCGCCUGGGAAGAAGGGGGAGGGAGGGGAAUGGGUAAAGAAGCACCGGCUAACUACGU